AUUGAACGCUGGCGGCAUGCCUUACACAUGCAAGUCGAACGGCAGCGGGGACUUCGGUCCGCCGGCGAGUGGCGAACGGGUGAGUAAUGUAUCGGAACGUACCUUUCAGUGGGGGAUAACGUAGCGAAAGUUACGCUAAUACCGCAUAUUCUCUGAGGAGGAAAGCAGGGGACCUUCGGGCCUUGUGCUGAUGGGGCGGCCGAUGUCAGAUUAGGUAGUUGGUGGGGUAAAGGCCCACCAAGCCGACGAUCUGUAGCUGGUCUGAGAGGACGACCAGCCACACUGGGACUGAGACACGGCCCAGACUCCUACGGGAGGCAGCAGUGGGGAAUUUUGGACAAUGGGCGAAAGCCUGAUCCAGCAAUGCCGCGUGCAGGAAGAAGGCCUUCGGGGUGUAAACCACUGUUGCCCGGGACGAACUUCUGGUUUCGACCAGAUUGACGGUACCGGGUGAGGAAGCACCGGCUAACUCUGUGCCAGCCGCCGCGGUAAGAC
rnacentral:rRNA from 1 species